UACGAAGGGGGCUAGCGUUGUUCGGAAUUACUGGGCGUAAAGCGCGCGUAGGCGGUGAUCUUUGUCAGAGGUGAAAGCCCGGGGCUCAACUCCGGAAUUGCCUUUGAAACGGGAUUGCUAGAGUCCGAGAGAGGAUGGCGGAAUUCCUAGUGUAGAGGUGAAAUUCGUAGAUAUUAGGAAGAACACCGGUGGCGAAGGCGGCCAUCUGGCUCGGUACUGACGCUCAGGCGCGAAAGCGUGGGGAGCAAACAGG
rnacentral:rRNA from 1 species